rnacentral:rRNA from 1 species
AGGGAAACCGAGUCUUAACUGGGCGUUAAGUUGCAGGGUAUAGACCCGAAACCCGGUGAUCUAGCCAUGGGCAGGUUGAAGGUUGGGUAACACUAACUGGAGGACCGAACCGACUAAUGUUGAAAAAUUAGCGGAUGACUUGUGGCUGGGGGUGAAAGGCCAAUCAAACCGGGAGAUAGCUGGUUCUCCCCGAAAGCUAUUUAGGUAGCGCCUCGUGAACUCAUCUUCGGGGGUAGAGCACUGUUUCGGCUAGGGGGUCAUCCCGACUUACCAACCCGAUGCAAACUGCGAAUACCGAAGAAUGUUAUCACGGGAGACACACGGCGGGUGCUAACGUCCGUCGUGAAGAGGGAAACAACCCAGACCGCCAGCUAAGGUCCCAAAGUCACAGUUAAGUGGGAAACGAUGUGGGAAGGCUCAGACAGCUAGGAUGUUGGCUUAGAAGCAGCCAUCAUUUAAAGAAAGCGUAAUAGCUCACUGGUCGAGUCGGCCUGCGCGGAAGAUGUAACGGGGCUAAACUGUGCACCGAAGCUGCGGCAGCGACGCUUAUGCGUUGUUGGGUAGGGGAGCGUUCUGUAAGCCUGCGAAGGUGUCCUGUGAGGGAUGCUGGAGGUAUCAGAAGUGCGAAUGCUGACAUAAGUAACGAUAA